rnacentral:rRNA from 1 species
UACGUAGGGGGCGAGCGUUGUCCGGAGUUACUGGGCGUAAAGCGCUUGUAGGCGGUCCACCAAGUUUGGGGUGACAGUUGCCGACUUAAUCGGCAAAGUGCCUCAAAGACUGGCGGACUUGAGGGCCACAGAGGGAGAUGGAACUCCAGGUGUAGUGGUGAAAUGCGUAGAUAUCUGGAAGAACACCAAAGGCGAAGGCAGUGUCCUGGGUGGUCGCUGACGCUGAGAGGCGAAAGCCAGGGGAGCGAACGGG